UUUUCUCAAUCUCUGUUGUGUCCCAGAUUGCUUUCCAGCUUGGAUGGCGAAACGCGUAAUAACGUUUCAUUCUGACGCACGUAAUUUAACGUUUUAUUCGCGCGGAGAAAUAUAUCUUUUUUUUUUUCUUUACAUUUUGUGCGUCGUCGUGGUAUAUAUAUAUAUAUAUGUACAUCGUAUGUAUGUAUAUAUAUAUAUUAUAUAGUUAUAUAGAUUAUCUAGUUCCGUGUCGAGUUGCUUUCAUUUGGUACGAUCGCGUAUGACAAAAUGGCGGACGCGGGAGCUUUCCCCUUUACGGUAACAAAAAAGAAAAAGUAAUCCAACGACAUCAGACGGAAAAUGAGUGUUGGCAUUUUUUACAAUUGUACUACCAGCGUGACGUUACUAUGAUAAAACAUUUGAGUGUAAACUUUCAAAUCCGUUUUUGGACAGCCGAGAAUCUUCCUCGUACAUUCAUUGCAGCCGAAUUCUGGUUAGUCAAUUGUUCACGAUUGACAAUAAUGUACGCUUACCUGGAAUCUGUGAACUGAACCGUGAAGCCUUAUGAAUGACUUCUGAGUCUGAAUUUUAUGAGAA